UACGGAGGAUGCAAGCGUUAUCCGGAAUUAUUGGGCGUAAAGCGUCCGCAGGUGGUUUUUCAAGUCUGCUGUCAAAGACAGAAGCUUAACUUUUGGCAGGCGGUGGAAACUGAAAGACUAGAGACCAGUAGGGGUAGCGGGAAUUCCCAGUGUAGCGGUGAAAUGCGUAGAGAUUGGGAAGAACAUCGGUGGCGAAAGCGCGCUACUGGGCUGGAUCUGACACUCAGGGACGAAAGCUAGGGGAGCGAAAGGG
rnacentral:rRNA from 1 species